GAGUUUGAUCCUGGCUCAGGACGAACGCUGGCGGCGUGCUUAACACAUGCAAGUCGAACGAUGAAGCCCAGCUUGCUGGGUGGAAGAGUGGCGAACGGGUGAGUAACACGUGAGUAACCUGCCCUGAACUCUGGGAUAAGCACUGGAAACGGUGUCUAAUACUGGAUACGACCUAUCACCGCAUGGUGUGUGGGUGGAAAGAUUUAUCGGUUCUGGAUGGACUCGCGGCCUAUCAGCUAGAUGGUGAGGUAAUGGCUCACCAUGGCGACGACGGGUAGCCGGCCUGAGAGGGUGACCGGCCACACUGGGACUGAGACACGGCCCAGACUCCUACGGGAGGCAGCAGUGGGGAAUAUUGCACAAUGGGCGCAAGCCUGAUGCAGCAACGCCGCGUGAGGGAUGACGGCCUUCGGGUUGUAAACCUCUUUUAGUAGGGAAGAAGCGAAAGUGACGGUACCUGCAGAAAAAGCACCGGCUAACUACGUGCCAGCAGCCGCGGUAAU
rnacentral:rRNA from 1 species